rnacentral:rRNA from 1 species
AUUGAACGCUGGCGGCAUGCCUUACACAUGCAAGUCGAACGGCAGCACGGGUGCUUGCACCUGGUGGCGAGUGGCGAACGGGUGAGUAAUACAUCGGAACGUACCUUAUCGUGGGGGAUAACGCAGCGAAAGCUGUGCUAAUACCGCAUACGACCUGAGGGUGAAAGCAGGGGAUCGCAAGACCUUGCGUUAUACGAGCGGCCGAUGUCAGAUUAGCUAGUUGGUGAGGUAAAGGCUCACCAAGGCGACGAUCUGUAGCGGGUCUGAGAGGAUGAUCCGCCACACUGGGACUGAGACACGGCCCAGACUCCUACGGGAGGCAGCAGUGGGGAAUUUUGGACAAUGGGGGCAACCCUGAUCCAGCCAUGCCGCGUGAGUGAAGAAGGCCUUCGGGUUGUAAAGCUCUUUCGGCCGGGAAGAAAUCGCACAGGCUAAUACUCUGUGUGGAUGACGGUACCGGCAUAAGAAGCCACGGCUAACUACGUGCCAGCCGCCGCAGUAA